UAACUAUGUGGGAUGGCUGAGGGGUACAAGGUUAAAUAACUAUGUGGGAUGGCUGAGGGGUGCAAGGUUAAAUAACUAUGUGGGAUGGCUGAGGGGUGCAAGGUUAAAUAACUAUGUGGGAUUGCUGAGGGGUGCAAGGUUAAAUAACUAUGUGGGAUGGCUGAGGGGUACAAGGUUAAAUAACUAUGUGGGAUGGCUGAGGGGUACAAGGUUAAAUAACUAUGUGGGAUGGCUGAGGGGUGCAAGGUUUAAUAACUAUGUGGGAUGGCUGAGGGGUGCAAGGUUAAAUAACUAUGUGGGAUGGCUGAGGGGUGCAAGGUUAAAUAACUAUGUGGGAUGGCUGAGGGGUGCAAGGUUAAAUAACUAUGUGGGAUGGCUGAGGGGUGCAAGGUUAAAUAACUAUGUGGGAUGGCUGAGGGGUGCAAGGUUAAAUAACUAUGUGGGAUGGCUGAGGGGUGCAAGGUUAAAUAACUAUGUGGGAUGGCUGAGGGGUGCAAGGUUAAAUAACUAUGUGGGAU